GGGAAACCGUGGCCCCCACUGCUGACAAAGACCAAACGCAGCACAUGCCACACAGAGGUCACAGAUCAAUGCUUUGAGUCCGAGGUUUAGGGAAUAAAUGUAGGAGUCGGGACUGAAAAUCGAGGCAGAAUUGAGUGCAUACUUUCAUGCUGCCUGCAUUCUCAGAGUGCGUCCUACCUAGAAUGCUGCAGAUGAGUGAGUGCUUCUUACCGUUAACCUACCUUAAUUCUGACCCACAGACACGUACUGAUCUGUCUGGAUCCUGUUAGACCACC